GGGGUCUCCUUUUAUAGGCGGAGGGCGUAACAGAUCGACAGUGACAUCUGUAACCACCUGGUAGUGGGUCGUUCGGGGCCAUGAGGAGUUUGUUACGGAGAGUAGUGGAGUGGAGUCGUGGCCAUCACCGUAGCCUGCCACGUGGAGCCUGUUGUGGAGAGUGGAGUGAUGCCCAUUGUCGUGACUUGCCAGAGCAUGAUGUAGCUGCGUGGGAUCCGUUACAGGAAGUGGAGCAGAGUCGUGGCCAUUACUAUGGCCUG
rnacentral:lncRNA from 1 species